CCAUGGGGAGUCAGAAGUGAAGUGUAUCCACUGCCCUAGAGAUGUCAGGCCCUGCAGGCAUUUUCUGCUGUGCAUGUGCGUGAUUGGCCUUGAUGUGUCACUAAGACCUGUGGCUGCAUCGUGUCAUUUCAGAGAGGGUUGACAGACUGCAAGCACUAGCCAGACCGUGCUUUGCAGCAUCCAGGUGACAGGAUACGUAUGUUGGUGUAUGCCCAGAUGUGCGUGGCAACACGAGGUGUGUUAGAGCUGGUGCGUGUUCCAGUGGGACCUGUGUAUGCUAACAGUACUGACAGCAGGAAUGUGUUGGCAGACUAGUGUGUGCGUGAGAGACCGCGUGUGACGUUGUCGUGUCACAAAUGCGAAGUGUGGCAGCGACUGUCAGUGUGUGCCAGCAGAAGGGUGUUCAUGUGUUUAUGAGUGUGUGUGUCGUGUGUCAGCCUGCCCCAGAACGUCCUCGAGUCUACCGACCAGCCAGGGCUGGUUGUGUGAGCUCGUCUCGGCCAGGAGCCUUGAACCAAGUGGGGUGGCCCAUCCUGGGUGCCUCCGUCCUUACACAUGGUUCUGGCCAGAGACCACACAAGAGACUUGGGCGGACAACAGAGUGCCAGAUCCCGGGUGACGCUGAUUGGAACCUCCGCCCGUGCCCUCGCCCAGGUCGUCCCCACGCGCACGCGGGACAGGGCGGCCACCCGCACUCACCGUGUCCCUUUGUCGCCCAUGGUCCGCGGCGGCCG
rnacentral:lncRNA from 1 species